rnacentral:rRNA from 1 species
GCAAGUUGUUAAGUGCGAUCGGUGGAUGCCUUGGCACCAAGAGCCGAUGAAGGACGUUGUAACCUGCGAUAAGCCCUGGGGAGUUGGUAAACGAGCUGUGAUCCGGGGGUGUCCGAAUGGGGAAACCUGGAAUGUCCGGAGUAGUGUCCGGUGACCCUGCCCUGAAUGUAUAGGGGUGUGGGAGGUAACGCGGGGAAGUGAAACAUCUUAGUACCCGUAGGAAGAGAAAACAACCGUGAUUCCGUGAGUAGUGGCGAGCGAAAGUGGAUGAGGCUAAACCGUGUGUGUGUGUUCAAGCCGGCAGGUGUUGCAUGUGCGGGGUUGUGGGGGCCUUUUGGUUCUGCUGCCGCAGGAUUGGCCAGUGAUAAAUGUUGCGUGAAGGUGAAGCGUCUGGGAAGGCGUACCGGAGUGGGUGAGAGUCCCGUAACUGUAAGCGUGGCACUGGUGAGGGUUGCCCCAAGUAGCGUGGAACUCGUGGAAUUUCGCGUGAAUCUGGCGGGACCACCCGUCAAGCCUAAAUACUCCUUGGUGACCGAUAGUGUAUUAGUACCGUGAGGGAAUGGUGAAAAGUACCCCGGGAGGGGAGUGAAAUAGUACCUGAAACCGGUCGCAUACAAGCCGUCAGAGCCUUGUGGGGUGAUGGCGUGCCUUUUGAAGAAUGAGCCUGCGAGUUAGUGAUGCGUGGCGAGGUUAACCUGUGUGGGGGAGUCGUAGCGAAAGCGAGUCUGAUAAGGGCGUGAGUCGCGUGUUCUAGACCCGAAGCGGUGUGAUCUAUCCAUGGCCAGGAUGAAGCGUCGGUAAGACGUCGUGGAGGUCCGAACCCACUUCAGUUGAAAAUGGAGGGGAUGAGCUGUGGAUAGGGGUGAAAGGCCAAUCAAACACCGUGAUAGCUGGUUCUCCCCGAAAUGCAUUUAGGUGCAGCGUUGCGUGGUUCUUGUCGGAGGUAGAGCACUGGAUGGUCUAGGGGGCCUAUCAGCUUACCGAAAUCAGCCAAACUCCGAAUGCCGGCAAGUGGAGCGUGGCAGUGAGACGGCGGGGGAUAAGCUUCGUCGUCGAGAGGGAAACAGCCCAGAUCAUCAGCUAAGGCCCCUAAGUGGUAGCUCAGUGGAAAAGGAUGUGGAGUUGCGCAGACAGCCAGGAGGUUGGCUUGGAAGCAGCCAUCCUUGAAAGAGUGCGUAAUAGCUCACUGGUCAAGUGAUUCCGCGCCGACAAUGUAGCGGGGCUUAAGUUAUCCGCCGAAGCUGUGGCAAACCCGUUUUGCGGGUUUGGGUAGGGGAGCGUCCUGUACGAGGUGAAGCUGCCGGGUGACCGUGUGGUGGAUUGUGCGGGAGUGAGAAUGCAGGCAUGAGUAGCGAAUGACGGGUGAAAAACCCGUCCGCCGAUUAUCCAAGGGUUCCAGGGUCAAGUUAAUCUGCCCUGGGUGAGUCGGGACCUAAGGCGAGGCCGACAGGCGUAGUCGAUGGAUAACCAGUUGAUAUUCUGGUACCGGCUUGUCACCGUCCGUGUCGAGGUGUGUGAUGCUAAGCGUGCGAGCCUGCCAUUGUGAUGUCUUUGAUGUUGUGGUGGUGUGGUGAGUGUGUGAACCGAUCAUGUAGUAGGCAAGCUGCGGAGGGACGCAGGGAGGUAGCUCAUCCCCGGCGAUGGUUGUCCGGGGCUAAAUGUGUGGACCGUCUGGUAGGUAAAUCCGCUGGGCAUAUGGUUGAGGCAUGAUGGCGAGCCCACGUGUGUGGGUGAGUGAGUGAUCCUGUACUGUCGAGAAAAGCUUCGUGAGCGAGGUGGCUGGUCCGCCCGUACCCUAAACCGACACUGGUGGAUAGGUAGAGUAUACCGAGGCGAUCGAGAUCAUCAUGGUGAAGGAACUCGGCAAAAUGCCCCCGUAACUUCGGGAUAAGGGGGACCUGAACUGUUAAGGCCUGUACGGCUGGUAGCAGUGAGGGGCGCAGAGACCAGGGGGAAACGACUGUUUACCAAAAACACAGGUCCGUGCGAAGUCGUAAGACGAUGUAUACGGACUGACUCCUGCCCGGUGCUGGAAGGUUAAGGGGAACUGUUAGCGUUGGCGAAGCGGUGAACUUAAGCCCCAGUAAACGGCGGUGGUAACUAUAACCAUCCUAAGGUAGCGAAAUUCCUUGUCGGGUAAGU